rnacentral:lncRNA from 1 species
UUUUUUUAUAAUUUUUUAAAUAAGCUGUACUUAAACUACUCUAUUGUAAAAUUUGGGUGAUUUCUGUAAUUACGUUCUUUUUUUAUUUCGAUAUUAUCUUUAUUUCUCCUAUUAGUUCAACAGAAAAAAAGUAAUUUUACAAAAAUGUAUGCUUCUCUCGAAGGCAGAUUGUGAGAUUAAAUGAACGGUGACCCCAUGUUUUUAUUCUAUAUUUCUAUUAAGUAUAAGAUGAAGUUCAUUUAUAGAAAAAUAUAGGGAAAUCCUAUAUAAGGAAAAAAAUUUGGUUUAUACCCGCGAGCCCCCUUAAGCAGUCAUCACAGGUAGAAAUGAAAGUUCAUAUUGAUCAAUUGAUUGAUUUUAUUUGUGGAGGAAGCAGGAGUAUCAACAGAUAUCCCUGAAAAAUAUGCCCAAUUACUGGUUGCUUGAUUGAUUGUUGGCGUUUAACACCACCUUCACACUUGGCUAUAUUAUAUGAUCAGUUUAAAUGGUGAAAAAGCACAAACAGAGACCAACCAAAAAUCUGUCAAAUUUUGAUUGAUUGAUUGUUGGGGUUUAACACAAC